GACGAACGCUGGCGGCGUGCUUAACACAUGCAAGUCGAACGGAAAGGCCCCUUUGGGGGUUCUCGAGUGGCGAACGGGUGAGUAACACGGGAGUAACCUGCCCUUUACUUCGGGAUAACUUCAGGAAACUGGGGCGAAUACCGGAUAGGAAUCCUUGCUGCAUGGUGGGGGUUGGAAAGCUUCGGCGGGUUUGGGUGGACUCGCGGCUUAUCAGCUUGUUGGUGGGGUAGUGGCUUACCAAGGCUUUGCCGGGUAGCCGGCCUGAGAGGGUGAGCGGCCACAUUGGGACUGAGGUGCGGCCCAGGCUGCUACGGGUGGCAGCAGGGGGGAAUAUUGCACCAUGGGCGGAAGCCGGAUGAAGAAAGGCCGCGUGCGGGAUGGCGGCCUUCGGGUUGUAAACCGCUUUCAGCAGGGGCGAAGCUUGUGGUGACGGUACCUGCAGAAGAAGCACCGGCUAACUACGUG
rnacentral:rRNA from 1 species